AUGCUUGAAGGUAAACCUCUAUGCUUGGCAGACAUUUCCAAUUGUGAUUUUCCAUUCGACCAUCUCCUUGACUUAGUGAUCACCCUUGCAGAAUUUUGUCAAAACUUCGAAGAAGAAACUAGCCGGCUGGAGCCAAACCUCGACCCCGUCAAUUCUCCGGUGAACGAUGAAGUUGCCAUGGAUGUUCUCCGACUGGAGUCCCGUGUUGCAGCUGUCAUGGACUAUCUCGCAAGGCUGAAGGCUGCCACAUCUCGCAUCGACUCGACGCUUUGGCCUGAGGAGACACUUCAGAAUGACCUUGAAUCGCUGAUGGCCCGGUUGAACACGAUUCCUGGUCGAGUGCAGGAAUGGAAGAAGUCCUCGGCUCGGUGUGGUGCAGAUGUUGCUCUGUGUCUUGCCCGAGUCCACUGUAAGGAUGCACGAGAAGAGAAGCUGGCGGCCCUUCGGGUGGCCAAUACCAAGAAGCACGACUUCAGGUCCUUUAUGGAAACUUUCCUUGCAGCUGCCACUCGGAUCGCCGACGGAAUUGACCUUGAUGAAUUCGUUGCUCCUUCCAGCCCUCCACAGGAGGGGUAA
rnacentral:rRNA from 1 species